rnacentral:rRNA from 1 species
AGAGUUUGAUCAUGGCUCAGAAUGAACGUUGGCGGCGUGGAUUAGGCAUGCAAGUCGAGCGAGAAACCCCGCAAGGGGUGGAAAGCGGCGUAAGGGAGAGGAACACGUGGUUCAUCUGCCCUCAGGUCCGGGAUAGCUGCGGGAAACUGCAGGUAAUACCGGAUGACAUCUCCGGAUCAAAGGUGUGAUUCCGCCUGAGGAUGAGACCGCGUCCUAUUAGCUAGUUGGUGGGGUAAUGGCCUACCAAGGCAAUGAUGGGUACCGGGUGUGAGAGCACGACCCGGCUCACUGGGACUGAGACACUGCCCAGACACCUACGGGUGGCUGCAGUCGAGGAUCUUCGGCAAUGGGCGCAAGCCUGACCGAGCGACGCCGCGUGUGGGAUGAAGGCCUUCGGGUUGUAAACCACUGUCAGAGGGGAUGAAAUGCGUAGGGGUUCUCUCCUACGUUUGACAUAGCCUCAGAGGAAGUACGGGCUAAGUUCGUGCCAGCAGCCGCGGUAAGACGAACCGUACAAACGUUAUUCGGAAUCACUGGGCUUAAAGGGUGCGUAGGCGGCGGCGCAAGUUGGGUGUGAAAUCCCUCGGCUCAACCGAGGAACUGCGCUCAAAACUGCGUUGCUUGAGGGAGAUAGAGGUGAGUGGAACUUAGGGUGGAGCGGUGAAAUGCUGAUAUCCUAAGGAACACCAGUGGCGAAAGCGACUCACUGGGUCUCCACUGACGCUGAGGCACGAAAGCUAGGGUAGCGAACGGGAUUAGAUACCCCCGUAGUCC